CACGGGGGCAACCCUGGUGGCGAGUGGCGAACGGGUGAGUAAUACAUCGGAACGUGUCCUGUAGUGGGGGAUAGCCCGGCGAAAGCCGGAUUAAUACCGCAUACGCUCUACGGAGGAAAGGGGGGGAUCUUAGGACCUCCCGCUACAGGGGCGGCCGAUGGCAGAUUAGCUAGUUGGUGGGGUAAAGGCCUACCAAGGCGACGAUCUGUAGCUGGUCUGAGAGGACGACCAGCCACACUGGGACUGAGACACGGCCCAGACUCCUACGGGAGGCAGCAGUGGGGAAUUUUGGACAAUGGGGGCAACCCUGAUCCAGCAAUGCCGCGUGUGUGAAGAAGGCCUUCGGGUUGUAAAGCACUUUUGUCCGGAAAGAAAACGCCGUGGUUAAUACCCGUGGCGGAUGACGGUACCGGAAGAAUAAGCACCGGCUAACUACGUGCCAGCAGCCGCGGUAAUACGUAGGGUGCAAGCGUUAAUCGGAAUUACUGGGCGUAAAGCGUGCGCAGGCGGUCCGCUAAGACAGAUGUGAAAUCCCCGGGCUUAACCUGGGAACUGCAUUUGUGACUGGCGGGCUAGAGUAUGGCAGAGGGGGGUAGAAUUCCACGUGUAGCAGUGAAAUGCGUAGAGAUGUGGAGGAAUACCGAUGGCGAAGGCAGCCCCCUGGGCCAAUACUGACGCUCA
rnacentral:rRNA from 1 species